GACGAACGCUGGCGGCGUGCUUAACACAUGCAAGUCGAACGGAAAGGCCCUGCUUGCAGGGUGCUCGAGUGGCGAACGGGUGAGUAACACGUGGGUGAUCUGCCCCUUACUUUGGGAUAAGCCUGGGAAACUGGGUCUAAUACUGGAUAGGACCAUGCUGUAGGUGGUGUGGUGGAAAGAUUAGUUUCGGUAAGGGAUGAGCUCGCGGCCUAUCAGCUUGUUGGUGGGGUAAUGGCCUACCAAGGCGUCGACGGGUAGCCGGCCUGAGAGGGUGGACGGCAACAUUGGGACUGAGAUACGGCCCAGACUCCUACGGGAGGCAGCAGUGGGGAAUAUUGCACAAUGGGCGCAAGCCUGAUGCAGCGACGCCGCGUGGGGGAUGACGGCCUUCGGGUUGUAAACUCCUUUCAGCCAUGACGAAGCCCUUGUGGUGACGGUAGUGGUAGAAGAAGCACCGGCUAACUACGUG
rnacentral:rRNA from 1 species